rnacentral:rRNA from 1 species
AAUAUCAAAGGUGAGCCAGUACAGGAUGGACCCGCGUCUGAUUAGCUAGUUGGUAAGGUAACGGCUUACCAAGGCGACGAUCAGUAGCCGACCUGAGAGGGUGAUCGGCCACAUUGGAACUGCGACACGGUCCAAACUCCUACGGGAGGCAGCAGUGGGGAAUAUUGCACAAUGGGCGAAAGCCUGAUGCAGCAACGCCGCGUGAGUGAUGAAGGCCUUCGGGUCGUAAAACUCUGUCCUCAAGGAAGAUAAUGACGGUACUUGAGGAGGAAGCCCCGGC